GAUGCUGCCGUUGAUGUCGACGGCUCGUCUGAAAUGCCUGAGUGUACCCCGCUUUGCGGCGUAUUCGGUGUGAUACAUCUUCACCGGAGUUGAUCCUUGUGGUCGCGUCUGURACGGUGUGGCUCUAUGCUUCCAAYCGUCUCUUUGGUUAGACAAUCUCUGACAAUUUGACCUCAAAUCGGGUGGGACUACCCGCUGAACUUAAGCAUAUCAAUAAGCGGAGGAAAAGAAACUAACAAGGAUUCCCCUAGUAACGGCGAGUGAAGAGGGAAAAGCUCAAAUUUUGAAUCUGGUGUCUUUGACUCCCGAGUUGUAAUCUAGAGAAGUGUUUUCCGUGUCGGACCGUGCACAAGUUCCCUGGAACGGGGCGUCAUAGAGGGUGAGAAUCCCGUAUAUGGCAUGGACUACCGAUGCUUUUGUGAUACACUCUCAACGAGUCGAGUUGUUUGGGAAUGCAGCUCAAAAUGGGUGGUAAAUUCCAUCUAAAGCUAAAUAUUGGCGAGAGACCGAUAGCGAACAAGUACCGUGAGGGAAAGAUGAAAAGCACUUUGGAAAGAGAGUGAAACAGUACGUGAAAUUGUUGAAAGGGAAGCGUUUGAAGUCAGUCAUAUCUGGCGGGAUUCAGCCGGGCUUUUGCCAGGUGUACUUCUCGUCCGAUGGGUCAGCAUCAAUUUCGACCGGGGGAAAAAGGCAUUGGGAAUGUGGCUGUCUUCGGGCAGUGUUAUAGCCUCGUGUUGUAUGCCUCGGUUGGGAUUGAGGAACGCAGCGCGCCGCAUGGCCAGGGGUUCGCCUCUUGACACGCGCUUAGGAUGCUGGCAUAAUGGCUUUAAGCGACCCGUCUUGAAACACGGAC
rnacentral:rRNA from 1 species